rnacentral:rRNA from 1 species
UACGUAGGGCGCAAGCGUUGUCCGGAAUUAUUGGGCGUAAAGGGCUCGUAGGCGGUUUGUCGCGUCGGGAGUGAAAACCUCGGGCUUAACUCGGGGCUUGCUUUCGAUACGGGCAGACUGGAGGUAUGCAGGGGAGAACGGAAUUCCUGGUGUAGCGGUGAAAUGACGCAGAUAUCAGGAGGAACACCGGUGGCGAAGGCGGUUCUCUGGGCAUGACCUGACGCUGAGGAGCGAAAGUGUGGGGAGCGAACAGG